ensembl:piRNA 21ur-9451 ncRNA
UGGUUGGUUUCUCUUCUUUUA